UACGUAGGUGGCAAGCGUUAUCCGGAAUUACUGGGCGUAAAGCGCCCGCAGGUGGUGGGUUAAGUUUGACGUGAAAGCUCUUGGUUUAACUGAGAGAGGUCGUUGAAAACUGGCCGACUAGAGGCGAAGAGAGGGGUGUAGAAUUCCCGGUGUAGUGGUGGAAUGCGUAGAGAUCGGGAGGAAUACCAGAGGCGCAAGCGACACCCUGGCCUUGGCCUGACGCUGAGGGGCGAAAGCGUGGGGAGCGAACGGG
rnacentral:rRNA from 1 species